GACGAACGCUGGCGGCGUGCUUAACACAUGCAAGUCGUACGGGCCUGUGCCGGUUUCGGUGCGGGUCAGUGGCGGACGGGUGAGUAACACGUGAGCAACCUGCCCGCGCGUGGGGGAUAACCCUGGGAAACUGGGGCUAAUACCGCAUAGGCCUCUUGGGGGCAUCCCUGAGGGGUGAAAGGCCGGUUUGGCUGCGCGCGGAGGGGCUCGCGGCCCAUCAGCUAGUUGGUGGGGUGAUGGCCCACCAAGGCGACGACGGGUAGGGGGUCUGAGAGGA
rnacentral:rRNA from 1 species